CUUCACAAUACAAGAUACUCAAUGAAGAAAGAAAAAUAAGAUUGCCAUCAAAGAAAAUAUUUUUUUUCUUUAAGUCAUCAACCACUGAAUAGCCAACGUAGUGUAACAUAGCAAUAGAACAAGUGUCAUUUAAGAUUAAAUUCAAUACGCUAGGUAGGACCUCAUCAAGAAUAAUAGAAUGGGUACAAAACCAGAUCAAUAAUUCAUGGCUAACGCUGGUAAAGAUUAUCUCAGGACUAUUGAAUAAUCUUAUUAGUUAUAAUCUUAUUUCCCAAUGUAUGUUGAGAUGUUAACGCAAACUGACCGUAACAUCCAGUUGGGACACUACUGACUUGUAUAAAUAUUAUGCCCAAUAUAUAACUAAUAAUCUUAUUAGUUAUAAUAUUAUUUCCCAAUGUAUGUUGAGAUGUUAACGCAAACUGACCAUAACAUCCAGUUGGGACACUACUGACUUGUAUAAAUAUUAUGCCCAAUGUAUAACUAAUAAUCUUAUUAGUUAUAAUCAUGGUAUGCAGUAUCGAAUAGUACCGCCCGGUAUGGGCGGUACGUACCGGUCCGAUGGCAUACCGGUACGCGGACCGCCCGGUACCGGACGGAACGUGCUAUAGUGCUACAGUAUUAUACUGUAGCAAUGCUACAGUGCUACAGUAAAGAAGAAAAUAUAUAAAACUGUUCGGUACGCCCUGGUGUACCGCUCGGUAUGCCAGUACCAUACCGUACCGAGCCAACCUCGAAACACCGGUACGGUACGGUAUUGCAUACCUUGAUUAUAAUAUUAUUUCCCAAUGUAUGUUGAGAUGUUAAUGCAAACUGACCAUAACAUCCAGUUGGGACACUACUGACUUGUAUAAAUAUUAUGCCCAAUGUAUAACUAAUAAUCUUAUUAGUUAUAAUCUUAUUUCCCAAUGUAUGUUGAGAUGUUAAUGCAAACUGACCAUAACAUCCAGUUGGGACACUACUGACUUGUAUAAAUAUUAUGCCCCAAUCUCUAACCAAAAAACCCUGCCAGCAGUGCACUUCCUAACCUCAUCCUCCAUCCUUCCCACUCCUCUUCCUGAUUCUCUCCAAUUCCAACCAACUAGUUAUGAAAGAUGUGAAUAUUGAUAUAAGCCCCUUGACAGACAUAACUGAGAUCGAGAUGCCUAUUCUAAGCUCAUUCUCUGAAAGGUUGAGGUUGGUGGAGGUCAAUCUCCAUAAGGAUUGCAUUAGAGAUAUGAUUUAUGAUGGAUGGAGAGGUUAAUGCAGUGAGACAAGAUGACAAGAGUUUUUCCUGAAGUUGAAAAAGAGAUGAGGAAGCAUGUGAGGUAGUUAAGACAAACGCCUUCAAUAAACAAGCAGGCGAUGGAGCUGCAAUAGCAAGAGAUGUGCCAUGCGAAACUAUUGUAGCCACAUCUAAAUCUUGUGAACUUUAAGUAGGUCAACGUGGGAAGCAUCACAUUAACUAAGCAUCAGCUACCUAUAGCCUAGAAACUAAGCAAUACAUAAGCAAGAGUCUAAUACGAUUUUGCACUAUGUCAAAAUCAAGAGUCUAAUCACUUUUUGGUUUCAAAAUUUGCCCUUUUUAGGACAAAAAUCAAACACCCUUUGUGCAUGUAUACUUCGAUUCCACGGAGUUCACAUGCCUCUAUAAUUAAUACUGGUUAUGAUCUCAUCGUUCAAAUCUAUAUGAAGAACCAAAAUUAACAAGGGUUAUCAACUAACAAACAACCAAAGGUACCU
rnacentral:lncRNA from 1 species